rnacentral:rRNA from 1 species
CACGGGGGGAGCAAGCGUUGUUCGGAAUCACUGGGCGUAAAGGGCGUGUAGGCGGUCAAGUAAGUGGAAUGUGAAACGCCUCGGCUUACCCGAGGACCUGCAUCCCAAACUGCUUGGCUUGAGUAUGGGAGAGGAUGAGGGAAUUCCUGGUGUAGCGGUGAAAUGCGUAGAUAUCAGGAGGAACACCGGUGGCGAAAGCGCUCAUCUGGCCCAAUACUGACGCUGAGGCGCGAAAGCGUGGGGAGCGAACAGG